rnacentral:misc_RNA from 1 species
AAACUACAAGGGGAGCCGAAGCUCCCCCAGAAGUAGUUGCGUGCUCUAUUUUUAUUAUUGAUGUCGGGCUUCUUGUUUUUGUUGAUCGCCCUCGCCACGAAGCUUCCUUCAUGACACUCCCAAUCGGGAGCCAAGAGCAAACGGAUUGCUUUGGUCGCUGUGUUGCUGAUCUACGAUCCAACCAGUUCAGGCUCUGCCUUAGGGCAGUU